UCCGUUGGUGAACCAGCGGAGGGAUCAUUACCGAGUUUACAACUCCCAAACCCCCUGCGAACCGUACCCAUCGUUGCCUCGGCGGGACCGCCCCGGCGCCCUCGCGGCCCGGACCAGUGCGCCCGCCGGAGGACCCAGACUCUCCUUCAGUGGAUAUUUCUCGAGUACAGUGGGCGAAUGAAUCAAAACUUUCAACAACGGAUCUCUUGGCUCUGGCAUCGAUGAAGAACGCAGCGAAAUGCGAUAAGUAAUGUGAAUUGCAGAAUUCAGUGAAUCAUCGAAUCUUUGAACGCACAUUGCGCCCGCCAGCACUCUGGCGGGCAUGCCUGUCCGAGCGUCAUUUCAACCCUCGAGGCCCCCCGCGGGACUCGGUGUUGGGGGUCCACGGCCCUGUGCCGCCCCCUAAAUGCAGUGGCGACCCGGCCGCCGCGUCCCCUGCGCAGUAGCUCAUCGAGAACCUCGCAACGGGAACGGCGGCCGCGGUCACGCCCGACACGGCGCGCCCCUGGGCGCCCGAACCCCACUGAGUUGACCUCGGAUCAGGUAGGGAUACCCGCUGAACUUAAGCAUAUCAAUAAGCGGAGGA
rnacentral:rRNA from 1 species